GAUCCAGCAAUUCUGUGUGCACGAAGAAGGUUUUCGGAUUGUAAAGUGCUUUCAGCAGGGAAGAAAAAAGUGACGGUACCUGCAGAAGAAGCGACGGCUAAAUACGUGCCAGCAGCCGCGGUAAUACGUAUGUCGCAAGCGUUAUCCGGAAUUAUUGGGCAUAAAGGGCAUCUAGGCGGCCAGACAAGUCUGGGGUGAAAACUUGCGGCUCAACCGCAAGCCUGCCCUGGAAACUGUUUGGCUAGAGUGCUGGAGAGGUGGACGGAACUGCACGAGUAGAGGUGAAAUUCGUAGAUAUGUGCAGGAAUGCCGAUGAUGAAGAUAGUUCACUGGACGGCAACUGACGCUGAAGUGCGAAAGCUAGGGGAGCGAACAGGAUUAGAUACCCUGGUAGUCCUAGCUGUAAACGAUGAUUACUGGGUGUGGGCAUGAAGAGUGUCCGUGCCGAAGCAAAUGCGAUAAGUAAUCCGCCUGGGGAGUACGGCCGCAAGGCUGAAACUCAAAGGAAUUGACGGGGGCCCGCACAAG
rnacentral:rRNA from 1 species